rnacentral:rRNA from 1 species
CACCGCGGUUAUACGGGAGACUCAAGUUGAAGGCUACACGGCGUAAAGAGUGGUUAAUUAAAUGAAUUUACUAAAGCUGAACCUCCCCAAGACUGUUAUACGUAUUCGGGAUAAGAAAAUCACUCACGAAAGUAGCUUUAAUAUGUUGAUGCCACGAAAGCUGAGGUA